ACUCAAAGGAAUUGACGGGGACCCGCACAAGCGGUGGAUGAUGUGGUUUAAUUCGAUGCAACGCGAAAAACCUUACCCACCUUUGACAUGUACGGAAUCCUUUAGAGAUAGAGGAGUGCUCGAAAGAGAACCGUAACACAGGUGCUGCAUGGCUGUCGUCAGCUCGUGUCGUGAGAUGUUGGGUUAAGUCCCGCAACGAGCGCAACCCUUGUCAUUAGUUGCUACAUUCAGUUGGGCACUCUAAUGAGACUGCCGGUGACAAACCGGAGGAAGGUGGGGAUGACGUCAAGUCCUCAUGGCCCUUAUAGGUGGGGCUACACACGUCAUACAAUGGAUGGUACAAAGGGUCGCCAACCCGCGAGGGGGAGCCAAUCCCAUAAAGCCAUUCGUAGUCCGGAUCGCAGUCUGCAACUCGACUGCGUGAAGUCGGAAUCGCUAGUAAUCGUGGAUCAGAAUGUCACGGUGAAUACGUUCCCGGGUCUUGUACACACCGCCCGU
rnacentral:rRNA from 1 species